GGGGUUGUGGCUCAGCAGUAGAGCACUCACCUAGCACGUGAGAGGCCCUGGGUUCAAUCCUCAGCACCA
rnacentral:tRNA from 1 species